GGAGGGUGCAAGCGUUAAUCGGAAUUACUGGGCGUAAAGCGCACGUAGGUUGUUAUGUAAGUCAGAGGUGUAAUCCCACAGCUUAACUGCGGAACUGCCUUUGAUACUGCAUAACUUGGAUCCGGGAGAGGAUAGCGGAAUUCCAUGUGGAGCAGUGAAAUGCGUAGAUAUAUUGAAGAACACCAGUGGCGAAGGCGGCUAUCUGGACCGGUAUUGACGCUGAGGUGCGAAAGCGUGGGGAGCANACAGGAUUAGAUACCCUGGUAGUCCACGCCGUANACGAUGGAUGCUAGUUGUCGGGGAGUCAUCUUCGGUGACGNNGUUAACGCAUUANGCAUCCCGCCUGGGGAGU
rnacentral:rRNA from 1 species